rnacentral:misc_RNA from 1 species
GAUGAAGAACGUAGUGAAAUGCGAUAAGUAGUGUGAAUUGCAGAAUUCAGUGAAUCAUCGAAUCUUUGAACGCACAUUGCGCCCUUUGGUAUUCCAAAGGGCAUGCCUGUUCGAGCGUCAUUUGUACCCUCAAGCUUUGCUUGGUGUUGGGCGUCUUGUCUCUAGCUUUACUGGAGACUCGCCUUAAAGUAAUUGGCAGCCGGCCUACUGGUUUCGGAGCGCAGCACAAGUCGCACUCUCUAUCAGCAAAGGUCUAGCAUCCAUUAAGCCUUUUUUUCAACUUUUGACCUCGGAUCAGGUAGGGAUACCCGCUGAACUUAAGCAUAUCAAUAAGCGGAGGA